CCCGAGGGAGGGGAGGGGCCAAGAGCGGGCUGGAGGGUGGGGCCAAGUCAAAUGCAAGGCGUGGCCAGGGUGGAGGGUAGGACUGGAGGGCCGUGGUCAGCUAUGGGAGUCAGUGGAACGGGGCCAGAGGACAGUGGGCCGGAGAAGAGGGGGCGCGCGAGGCGAUGCUUCUGAGAGCGUGGGUCCCGAGGGUUCGGCGUAAGAAACCCCGUCCCGGACGGAGUCCGUGGAAGGCGGCCAAGGAGGAGGGGCAGGCGAGAGGCCGCGGGUCCGCCCUCAAUGGCGUCUCUUUGCUCUGAUUGGCCAUGCGCGCUUUUGCACGUGACCUCGGAGCCAAUCGCGGCGGCCCGUUCGGUCGGAGGGUGGGAGGAGUCGGGUCGGCGCUGACGCUGCGAGGCACGGGGCGUGUCAGGCCCUGCGUCCUCUCCGCCCCGGCGCUCCUUCGGGGUCCAGAUGGUGUGGACAGGUGGCCCAGACCCAGGGUUCCGGCCCUGGUGGCUCCGCGGGGACAGCAGGGUUUGUCUCGCUGCGGAUUAGCAGAUCUGGACAAAACGGUCCUUAAUUGCGGCGCCGUUUAGCGUGCCCCGGGGGCCGGAUGGCUGGGUGAGCGGCUCUGCCUCCCGCGGUGUCCCGGAGGGGCCUGAUCCGCCCUGGGAGCCAAGGCGCCUUCCUGGCGUGGGGGUCAACCCUUUGCUACGUGGGAUGCGAGCCGCGAGGACUGCGGAGGCGGCCAGAGAGAACACACAAGGGCCUCCGACAUGCAGGAGGAGGUGCAGGUGCAAGGACAGACGCAGUGACACCCAUGGUCUCGCCAAGCUCAGCGGCCCUGGGCACCCAUGCACUGGCCAUGGGAUACGGGGGUUGACACGAGAGAACACCCAGGCUGCUUGGAGCUGGCUUUUCAACACGUGGAAACAAGCAUUUUAAACAGACAUGGACCCAGGAGGAGCAGAGGACUGGACGAGCAGGGCACUGGCACUGGCGGCGUGCUUCGCCUCUGGACGAGGGUGUUUGUGGUUAGUACUGCAGUCUAAUUGAUAUGGCUUCUCUAAGAGCUAUGUAAGGUCAUGAAGGUCAGUGUCACGCACAGCCCUGGCCCCCACCUGUGGACACUGAAUGCAGUUUUGAUGUGGGCAGGGAGCGCCAGGGCCCAGGCCAAGCCAACAGGGUUCCUGGUCAAGAUAAAACUCAUCAAAUACC